CUGGAUUCCUAUGCCGGGAACUGACGUCUGUGGCUGACAACCACCCUGCCCCCACCCCCCAGCACCAGCAGCCUGGAACUCCCCGCGAGGCCCUGGCCUCUGGCCCGGCUCUCUUCCCAGGCCCCAGUUCUCAGCCUAACGUCCCACCUUCAUGGGUGCCGGUACAUGAGGGCUGAAGGAAGACAGCAGUGGCCAAGAGCAUUGUCUGUGGAACAAGACAGUCCUGGGUUCAGAGUCCAGCUGUCAUUUGAGCUGUGUGACCUUGGACAAGGUGCUUACCUUCUCUUGGUCUGUGAAAUGGAGAAAAAUAUUCCUGCCCUGUCCAUUUGUGGUGAGGAGUCCAUGAAUUCAUGCAUGCAAAAUACCUACUUGGCACAUGGACAAUCUUGACUGUCGUGCUGCCUGCCGCCUUCGGUCGGAAGUGGCGAGGGAUGAAGCCCAGAGGAGAGCUGAGGCCAGUGGGGGCUGGGGUGCCCAGGCCUCUCUUUCUCCCACUGUCCCCUGAACACGGAUCCUGGGAAUGUCUCUGCAAAUAGCAGGAAGGAUGGGGAUCACUGAUGGGCCAGGGCCAGCAGGAGAGGCUGCAGCGACGAGGCCUGCGGGUAGUCUCCACCCUGACUUCCCAGUAAAGAGAGACACGCGCUGGGGAUGGAAGGAUCUGGAUGGGGCCUAAGACGUUCUCAGACAAUGGAUCUUUGAAAACUCACAGACGAUGGUGGUUUGGAAAUCCAGCCUCCACCAAGCCCAAGGAUGGAAUGGCAGGGGAAAAGGGGGAGCUCGCUAGUUCAGACCCCUGGGGAGUCCCUGAGCAUGGAGGCCAGCCUUCAGUCCCCUGGGGUCCAGGUGACCCAGGCUGGAAGAGUAGGUGGAGUUGUUCCCAUUGUGGACAUAGCCCAGAGGGCGGAUGGGGACUUGAGUCUGUGUGUAAGCCCAUCAUCCUACCCCUUUCCUCGCUGACCAGAGAAAGCUGGGCAGUUUAGCUCAUCCUAACUCCAGACUAAGAUCGACAGGGACCAAGACAGAGGGGAGGACAGAGAGGUAGCCCCCAAACAAAGAACCAGUACCUCAGGGGCUGGGUGGGGAAGGCUGGGCUAAGACAGAGGCCAUUCAGGGGAAUGUGCUGCCCAGAGGCAGCCUGAACUAGGGACAGACACAGGCUUUGGAUAGAACCGUGGCAAAAUGUUCCUCAGGAGGGAAAUCAGGAAGUGUGGGGCCAGUUCUUGGCUAGCAUAGUACUUUUUCCCAGGCCCCGAUUGACCCAGCAGCCAUGAUGGGAGGCUAGGGAGAGGGGCUGGAACAUGGUGGAACUCAUGUUGCUGACCUAGGGGACAAAUGAGAAAUAAGGACAGUAACUGGUAUUGCCCGUCCCAGAGUCCUGGGCUUUAGGUCGUGGCUACCAGCCGCCCUCACCAGCUGUCCCCACCCUGUCAGUAAAGCGGUGCACUCACCACCCCGUACUGUGACUGCGUGGUGUCCUCUUCAGCUGAUCUCUCACUGGAGCCAUCUGGAAACCCAAAGGGAGGUUGGGUCAGCCUCCACCUCCUCAGCCUUGCUGACCGGAGCCCUGCAGGCCUUCAAGCUGCCAGGCCUGGUGCCACUUCUGCAGUCCCAGCUCACCACCGGGUCCCUGUGCCCCAAUGGGGCCUUAGUCCCCCUUCUCAUUGCAACCUCUCCUCACCCCUGGGUUGACAAAUUCCCUGCAACUGGGUUGCUGCCUCAGUUUCCCCACACUGACCUCCUGGCCACCAUUAGGACUGAGCUUGGCUGGGCCAGAGCAUCUUAUUCAGUGCCCCUCACGGGUGGCCCAGGGGCCCAGCAUCCCAUCCCUGCGGUCUUGCUUAGUUGCAGCCCACUGGGGAGCCACCCUAUCCAGCCACACUUGAAGUCACCAGGCCUUGGUCUAUACUAUCCACUCGCAGGCACCCGCCUCCAGCCUCUCUGUUCUCCCAGUUGGAACACCCUAGGACUCCAUCUUCCACCCCGUGGGGUGCCAGCACACAAGGCCCUGAGGGGACUCUGUCUCUCCAGCCCCUGCCUCACAUCCAGUCUGGCUCCCUCUGAGCAUUCUUGGUUCAAAGACCAAGAACACUGGAAUCAGACAGUCCAUUAGAAAUCACCGAGGCCAGCCUCUCUGUGCAUACAUGACACAGAUGAGGCCCAAAGAGGGGAAGGAAUCUGCAGAAAUUAGCUGGAGGAACCAGGACUAAACUGGAGUCACCCGGCCCCUGGUCCACAACACCAACAUCUAGAGAAGCAUUCGACUAUGAAGCACUCCCUUCCCCCUGUCCUGCCUCCUCCAGGAAGCUUUCCUGAGCUACCUCAACCACAGGGUACAGUCUGACCAUCUGUGCACUUGAUUCUGCUCAGGCCAUUUGCCCUUCACUAGUUGAGG